UUAAAUGAAUAACAAUUUUCCAAGUUAUCUCAAUUUCUCAUUUCUCGUUUUAUUAUACUGUCAAAGAAUUAAAAACAGUGGAAGAACUGUCACCUCUGAUUCAUCGUUCCGACCUCCAUCCAUCGUAAUUCACCUCGAUCCACGAUUUCAAACCGUUCCUUCCACGUUGACAUUUGCCACGCUAGAUUAUAAAUUUCAUUUUCUCGGCUAGAGAACCUUUUGAAAUCGCGGAGAAGCACAGCUGAAACACCUGUAACCGGGAUCGUGUAACGGUUUAAUUCGAUGUUAAAACGUGAGGGGCCAGAGCCGCGAUAUUAAUCACCAGGCCGAUGGUGAAAACGUCGAUCGGCUGAGUGAACUCUCGAUCUUGAUUUACGAAGUCUACGAAACGAAGAGAAGGAAACAGGCACAGUAUCCUCCUUCCAAAGAAUUGAAUUUGCUAAUGUUUCUUUCCUGCUUAUUCUCUUUCUUUCUUUCUUUCCUUUUUCCUCUUGUUUUCACACGAAGGCUUUGUUUUAUUGUGAGGCAAAUGCAAAUUCGGUUUGCCUUUAAUGCUCGCUUAAUGAGUCUCUAACGCUCGUAACGAAUAUGCAAAUAGGAAAAUAUGUGAUUUUCGAUUGCGUUUUAUUAAAUUAAAUAGAAAUCCGUGUUGUUUUGAUCAUUUUUUCUUGGAAUUUUGGAAUCGAUCAUUUUUAAUGCUUUUAAUAUUUUCGUUCUCGCACUUGGGUUUGUCUUUUCACUUAUUAAUUGAUUAUCUCUCUUCAUUGAUGUUUAAUUUAUUAUCCAAUACAGCGUGUUGCGCAUAGAGUUUAGAGUAAUUAUACAGUUUUGCAAUUUAAUAUCAAUUAACUUUAGAAUUUUAAAUAAACAAAACACUUGAUUAUUAUUCCAAUCUUUGAAAAUUACACAUUAUUAUGUUGUCAUCUUUAUCAUUAGCACAGAGGAAUAUGCAUGAAAACGGACUCAGCUACGGCUUUCCAAGAGUUGAUCUGCCACUUGAUGCAAACCUAAGCGUAUAAAAUCUAUAGUCGUCGUUAAGUAACAUCACUAGUCACAGCAACAUGGGCUGAGAGGUUUUCUUUCGUGGUCGAAUAACAGGCGAGCGUUCGUGGCCAUCCUCGGAUGCAACGUAUUGCGCUGAAUUAUUAAUGAACGUCCCUGGCAAUCGCUAAUCGUGACUAGCCGCGUAACGGUAAAGAAAAAGAGAAAUGUUGUUUCUACAUUCAACGACACCGAUUGGUGAAACCUGGUGCGACAGCCUGGUUCGCGACACAGGUCAGCCACGUUCACAUUUUGGCCUCUCUGAAUUCGCCAUUUUGCAAGUUUCACUGGCUAAUUAAGUAACAACGAUAUUCCCAUUACAAAGUUUCUAAUCAAACAUACGUCUUUCUUUACGAGUAAAUAAGAAAGCAACUCAUAAAAAAUAAACAGUGAAAUUGAGUGAAAAUAAAUGUCGAAAUGGAAAAGUAGGAACUUGAAUUCAGGUGAAAAUCAACUACUUUUAAUGUACUUAGUUAGCUAAUUAUUUUUUGGAUAAUAUUUUUUAACAAUACAAGAUAUUUCAAAAAUAGAUGAUGAAAUUUUUUGAUGGAUGUAUUCUACUCUUUUUGAGAAAGAUUCAGAAACUUCUCUUUUUUGAGACAAGAUAUCGUAGAGAUACUCAUCAAUCAAAAAUCAAUGAAAUAUUCAAAGAAAUAUCUAAAAAUAAUUUCUUUCUUCGAUCAUUUUCGUAUCGAUGUUUCAGAUCAAAGACGUUCCAAAAUUCUUGUUCAAUUCCAAAUUUUGUCACGUUUCUCGAAGGUCAAUGUACCAAAUAUCGAUGCCUGAAAUUCAUUCUCUGUCUACGAUAAUAAAAGAAAAAAAUAUAUAUAACUAUAUAUAUAUAAAUUGAAAAUCUUAGCAAGAGAGUGAAUUUUUUUUCAGUUUCCUUGUUAUAAAUGGAAUUGUUUAUUUCCUGUUGCAAAAUUCUCUCUGAUUACAAAAAAAUAAUAAUCUUAAACUCGAGAUAAAACGACUAACUUUCAAGCAAUAAAAUUGUGAAAUCUAAACAAUCCUUUGAGACUAGCAAAUCAAUUAAAUAUAGUGAAUAUUAAAAUAUCAACGAAUCCAAAAUAAAUGAAACACCUUGUAUAUUGAUUUGAUAAAUAUGCACAUAUAUAUUCCACAACUUUAAUAUGCACAUAUAUAUUCAACUUUCUAAAGUAUAAAUAGUUACAACUGUUGUACUUAUUUUUCUUUUAUUGUCCUAGAUAUAAGAUGUAGUUGAGCUUUUACGACGCGUCGUAUAUCCAGCACGCGAAAAGCUGCUAAGUAACCGGGAAAAAAUUCGGUAGAAAGCAGCUAGAAUCCGAUCGAAUUUCUAUGGAACGUGCACGCGAAUUCACAUCUCUUCGUCUUUGCUGCAUUCACUCGUUUAAAAGCGUGAUAAACAUGCAUGCACGUUGCACUGCACGCGCGCUUUUGCUCGGUUGACGGUUUUCUAUAAAGCAAACGCUAUAUCGCAUUGCAAAAGUGGUAUAUACAAUUAUUUUAAAAAAUAUUCGAAUUUGCGAAAAUAAUUAUACGUGAAAUUUACGUUUUAUUGAAUUAAGAGUAAUAAAUUUUUUUUAAUUAUUUUGAUCAAGAAUUGUGAAUUGACUAUCAAUAUGAAAAUUUAGAUCGAUUUUCUUCGAUCGAAAUUACUUUAUUUGAAUCAAAUUAAAUUAUUCAAAAUAGUAAUUCGUAAUUAUUAAUAAUAAUAGGUGCAUUUAAUCGUUCUGUUUUAUCAUUUUUGAAUUGAAAUUUUUGAACAAGAUUAUUUUUUUCCUUUUAUAUUCUCCGGAGUGAUUGGCUCUUCACGACGAGAUAUUGUCUUUCUAUUUUCUUCACUCGGAGAAAAAUCAAGCGGAAUUCAACUAGGUAAUUAAGGUGAAAUAAAAAUGCAAUAUAAUAUUGGUUAAUUUUAUUCGAAAGAUUUGUGUAAAUUCUAAUACUUGAACAAGGGAUAAGUAAUUUUAAUUUUCUAUGCUUAAAAAAGUUUCUUAAAUUUGAUAAUACUAUAAAAUAAUCAUAGUUAAUGUUUCUAAUUCUUCUUUUCCAAUUUUAUGACUAAGUUUCUAAGCAAAGCCAGGAGAGCGAGAUAUAAAAAUUUGAAGAUUAUAGUUAACAAGAAAGGAAUAAACUAUUCUAACGGAAGGAAAUUACGCUUUAACGAAGGAAAAGAAAGAAAGAGGGAUGAGUCACCAUGUCUGAAUCACGAAUUCAAUCUCUAAUGCAAUCUCAAGAAUGGUGAAUUAUAUCAGUUUUGUUAUUUCCAUAGUAUAAAUUUUUUUUAACUAUUAUUAUUAUUAUUAUUAUUAUUAUAUGCAAAGUGAUACAACAAAUAAAAUUAUAUAAUAAAAUAAUUAAUAAUGUAAUGUACGAAUGAUCAAUUAUUAAAUAUUAAAUAUUAAUUAAUUAGAUUCAAAUAUAUUAUAUUUCGUAUAAUUUAAUAAUACUUUCGUAUAAU